UGGUUUAUAGCUCAGUUGGUUGGGCACCAGACUGCUGAGUGGGAGGUCGUGGGUUCAAAUCCCGGCCGGACCAC
rnacentral:tRNA from 1 species